GAUGAGCAGAGUGGUAAAUGACAGGAAUAUUUGGGCACACUAACACAUGUGAGAGCACUGAAUCAUUCUUCCCUUCUUUGAUUCAAUCAGACGUGUUUGGAGUGCAAAAAUUAGAAAACAGUAUUAUUCCCAGCAAAAGGAUGCCGACAUGAAGAUGGCUGUUACAUCAGAGUUUGAUGCACCAGAAGUGGCUCGAGCACUACCUUCUCUCCUAGUAUUUUCUACCUGUACAGCCUGCAACUGUGAUGAGGUGUUGAUGGUUGGUGUAGGGUUCAAUCAUGGAGCGAGGACAGAAACCCAGAGAUGAUGAGGAGGAAGGCCAAACAUGGAAGCUCUAAUACCAACUUGCCAGGAAAGAGGAAGGAUAAGAUAGCUGCUGAAGGAUCAUUUAUGGCACAAUCCAGCUUGAAGCCCCCACCGGUGUGGAGGGACUUUGGGAAGGUUGAGACUCGGUGCCCUCGGCCACAUCAGCGAAUUAAUUUAUGUCAGAGGGGUUAGAUAUGACCAACUCUGAUGUGAAAGAAGACGAGAAAAACUUAUCCCUGAAUGGAGAAGAAAACAAUCGCAUGCAACUUUAUGGAGUAUAUUUAUAUGAAAGAUUAAUCUCCCAAAGUACAAGGAAUCAACAGUGACAUUUGACUCGAUUAUGAAUUCCGAUGUGAUCCAUCCAUCCAUCCAUCCAUCCAUCCAUGGGAGAUUGUUUGGAAGAAUGGCGGGGAAAACGUACUCGGCUGCAAUGCUAAAAGCUAAGAGAUUAUUGUCUUCGUGUGAAGAUAAUUAUUGCUCGAAAAUUACAGGUGUCGUCACCAUCGGAUGAUGACAGCUGCCGUGGGCCCAAGGAUUUAUUGUAUCGACAUGUGUCGACAAGUCCACAUCAUUUUUUUUUUUUGCUUUAUAAGACAAGAAAACUCAUGGAUUAUUUUAACUUAUAUCAAUG